rnacentral:rRNA from 1 species
AGAGUUUGAUCAUGGCUCAGGAUGAACGCUAGCUACAGGCUUAACACAUGCAAGUCGAGGGGAAACGACAUCGAAAGCUUGCUUUUGAUGGGCGUCGACCGGCGCACGGGUGAGUAACGCGUAUCCAACCUGCCCACCACUUGGGGAUAACCUUGCGAAAGUAAGACUAAUACCCAAUGACGUCUCUAGAAGACAUCUGAAGGAGAUUAAAGAUUUAUCGGUGAUGGAUGGGGAUGCGUCUGAUUAGCUUGUUGGCGGGGUAACGGGCCACCAAGGCGACGAUCAGUAGGGGUCUGAGAGGAAGGUCCCCCANAUUGGAACUGAGACACGGUCCAAACUCCUACGGAGGCCA